CCACGUGAUGGAGUUUCGUGUAGAAAUCAUUUCAACUAUGUGAACAAAAUAUUAGGCAAAUAGAUUGGCACUUACGACAAUGUUAAGCGUAUGCAACAAAACGGGUGGCGGAGAAUGAUUUAUCGGCAAAAGCACAUAAAAUAUAUUCAAGUGGUAAAAAUGGGCAUUUCAAUUUUAUGUCAGAAUGGCUUGUUGUCCGUGAUCAACCACGUUAUGGUAGUCAGGUAAGGGGAAAUAUUGGGUCUGGAAGCAAUGGAUCUAAGAGAGUACACUAUAAUGAUGCAAGUGACUCAAACUCUGUAGGAUUUAGUGUUCAUCCCAUAGGAAGGGAUGCAGCUAAAG